ensembl:snoRNA
GGCCUCCUGAUGCUUACCACAGACUAUGUUCUUAGACUGUGUAGAAAAAGGAGACACAGCAAACAUACCCCAUGCACAAAUCAGCCAGUGACAUGGGCCUGAUCUAUAUUGUGAAUGGGGGGAGGAGG